AUUAAACGCUGGCGGCAUGCCUUACACAUGCAAGUCGAACGGCAGCACGGGGGCGACCCUGGUGGCGAGUGGCGGACGGGUGAGUAAAGCAUCGGAACGUGCCCUGGAAUGGGGGAUAACGUAGCGAAAGUUACGCUAAUACCGCAUAUUCUGUGCGCAGGAAAGCAGGGGCUCGCAAGACCUUGCGUUCUGGGAUCGGCCGAUGUCGGAUUAGCUAGUUGGUGGGGUAAAGGCCCACCAAGGCGACGAUCCGUAGCGGGUCUGAGAGGAUGAUCCGCCACACUGGAACUGAGACACGGUCCAGACUCCUACGGGAGGCAGCAGUGGGGAAUUUUGGACAAUGGGCGCAAGCCUGAUCCAGCCAUGCCGCGUGAGUGAAGAAGGCCU
rnacentral:rRNA from 1 species